GAUGAACGCUGGCGGCGUGCCUAAUACAUGCAAGUCGAGCGAACAGAUGAGGAGCUUGCUCCUCUGACGUUAGCGGCGGACGGGUGAGUAACACGUGGAUAACCUACCUAUAAGACUGGGAUAACUUCGGGAAACCGGAGCUAAUACCGGAUAAUAUAUUGAACCGCAUGGUUCAAUAGUGAAAGACGGUUUUGCUGUCACUUAUAGAUGGAUCCGCGCCUCAUUAGCUAGUUGGUAAGGUAACGGCUUACCAAGGCAACGAUGCGUAGCCGACCUGAGAGGGUGAUCGGCCACACUGGAACUGAGACACGGUCCAGCCUCCUACGGGAGGCAGCAGUAGGGAAUCUUCCGCAAUGGGCGAAAGCCUGACGGAGCGACGCCGCGUGAGUGAUGAAGGUCUUCGGAUCGUAAAACUCUGUUAUUAGGGAAGAACAAAUGUGUAAGUAACUAUGCACGUCUUGACGGUACCUAAUCAGAAAGCCACGGCUAACUACGUG
rnacentral:rRNA from 1 species